rnacentral:tmRNA from 2 species
AAUGGUUUCGACGGGAAUGUGGAAGCUUAUGGUGCGUGUCGGGGACCGGGUGGCCCCGUAACUAACCCGGAAAACUUUUAGUUGCCAACGAUAACGUUGAGCUAGCACUGGCUGCAUAAGCCGGCGCCUUGACCAGCCCUGUCUGCAUGUUGGUUGAGGCGGCUAAACCCGCGGACUUAGCUUUGUCUCGCUCCUCCUUCGAGAUGAAGUGAAAUUUUAGGGAGGAUGUGCCAAAAAAAGCCUGCUCAUCGGCGCUUUUUGGGACGAGAAUAAAAGAUGAAACUACGCACGUAGACCCAUAUGUGGAACUUUUCCGGACGCGGGUUCGAUUCA